rnacentral:rRNA from 1 species
GAUGACGACGAAGACUCUAUUAUAUGGAAGUUCAUCAAAGAUGGGGUAUAUUUUGCAUCCUUGGCCUACAAGGCUCAAUUUGAAGGCCUCACCACCUCGGACCUUGUCCAUUCUGUGUGGACGGUGUGGGCGCCCCCUCGGUGCAAGUUUUUUGCUUGGCUUGUUCUUCAAGAUAGGAUUUGGACUUCGGACCGCUUGAGCCGCCGCGGUUGGCCUAAUUGCGGUCUAUGCCCUCUUUGCAAGCAAACCCAAUAA